rnacentral:tRNA from 1 species
GGUGUAGCUCAGUGGUAGAGCAGCUGUUUCGUAAACAGCAGGUCGCGGGUUCGAUUCCCAUCACC